rnacentral:rRNA from 1 species
GAUGAACGCUGGCGGCGUGCCUAAUACAUGCAAGUCGAGCGAAUGGAUUAAGAGCUUGCUCUUAUGAAGUUAGCGGCGGACGGGUGAGUAACACGUGGUAACCUGCCCAUAAGACUGGGAUAACUCCGGGAAACCGGGGCUAAUACCGGAUAACAUUUUGAACCGCAUGGUUCGAAAUUGUAAGGCGGCUUCGGCUGCCACUUAUGGAUGGACCCGCGUCAGCAUUAGCUAGUUGGUGAGGUAACGGCUCACCAAGGCCACGAUGCGUAGCCGAGCUGAGAGGGUGAUCUGCCACACUGGGACUCAGACACGGCCCAGACUCCUACGGGGGGCAGCAGUAGAGAAUCUUCCGCAAUGGACGAAAGUCUGACGGAGCAACGCCGCGUGAGUGAAGAAGGCUUGCGGGUCGUAAAACUCUGUUGUUAGGGAAGAACAAGUGCUAGUUGAAUAAGCUGGCACCUUGACGGUACCUAACCAGAAAGCCACGGCUAACUACGUGCCAGCCGCCGCGGUAA